rnacentral:misc_RNA from 1 species
GUCGUAACAAGGUUUCCGUAGGUGAACCUGCGGAAGGAUCAUUACCACACCUAAAAACUUUCCACGUGAACUGUAGUGACAAGAUUAGCGCCGUGACGCGUGCUGCGGGUACUUGUUUGUAUCUGCGUCGUGCGGGCUCGGCUGAUCGAAGGCUUCAUUGCUGCGAGUGUGUGCUCUUCGGAGCGCGUCUCGCGGCGGUGAGCUGACUUACUCUUUCAAACCCCUUCCUUAAUGACUGAUGUAUACUGUGAGGACGAAAGUCUUUGCUUUGAACUAGAUAACAACUUUCAGCAGUGGAUGUCUAGGCUC